UGGAAAACUGACCCAUCCAGUUUUAAAGGGAAUCAGAAUUAUUCAUGCUUAAGAGGUGCAUAGCUGAUCUCAGCCAUAUAGAGAUAAAUCUGGUGAGAACUAGCAACAGGAGCAUCCUGGGAAGGAAAACAAGAGUUCUUGCAUGCAAGGGGGAAGCCUGGUGCAGGGAGCGGUCUGUGGAAGAAUGACACAGCAGUUCUGGGCCUUUGCUUUGCAGAUGGGCACGGGCACAGAAGGAGGCACUGGAGCCUCAGGUCUUGCUGCAGCAACUGGCAACCUAAGCAAGCACCCCUAGUUUUCUCUUCCUCCCUCGGUUGGGUGUUCCAUCCUGAGGCAGGUUAUUUUACCCCGUCCUAGAAAGACAGGACAGAAUUUGCCACACUCCUAAAGAUGGUUCUGGGUCACGUUAUGUUACCAAAAAAAAAAAAAAAAAAGUAAGUAAGUUACGCCCACACAAUGAUAGCCUUGAAAGGAAAAUUAAGAAAAGCUACCGAAGGUUUUAAAGCAGGACUUAUGGAAGAGGCAGUGACUUUCAGAUUGUAUUGAUCUCUCUGAUAUGGAGCUCCAUCCUAGCACAAAGGCAAAAUAUGGGGCCGAUCAGUAUUCUCUGGGCCAAAGAAUACUCAAAAUUCUCUGUGUGCUGUAGUAAUUCCAUGUGAGUAUCUCCUAUUGACUGCAAGAGUGACUUGAAUCCUGGAAAAGCCAGUAACUGCAAGAGCUUUCAGGAACUCUGGAAUGUAUAAAGUCUUGGGAUAAAGAUAUACAGCAGACCUAUCCGGGACUUCUGUAAGACCAAAGGUUCUAUUAAGACAGAAACCCAACAUAUUAUCAUGGGAUGAAACCACUGCAUAAAGUCAGGUGAAGCCAAGGAGCUCUGAACUCCCUUGAGGAAGGAAAAGCAAGGGAGAAGCAAUUCUGAUUCAAUUAAAAAACAAUGCUGCUAAGGGUCAUAGAAUGAAAUGUUCUUCACUUCCCAUUUCCAAGUUCUGUCCAGGGACCCGAGGGACACAGGCAAAGAAAUGGUGGCAUCGGAAUGUACUUUGUGUUGAAAUUGUUUGGGAUCACAUAAUUUGUUGGGAUCAGUACAUGUCUAACUUAGAAAACUUUGAUGAGCCCCACUGUAUCCAUUUCUCAUCCUCAAACCAGGAGAAUUUCUCCCCAUACUUAUAAGAACAAAAGGGAAGGGGCCAGGAGAAUCACACAGUUAUCAAGUGAUCAGGGCCUUGUUGUCAGGGAAUACAAAUAAAGCAAAUUUUUUGAAAGACAAAAGGGUAAAGUAGAAAUUCAUAAAGAGAAGUCUAAGGUGGCAAAAAAAAAAAAAAAAAAAAGAAGAAGAUGGGAACCGCUCUCAUGAAUGAUGAUGAAUUUAGUUUUAAAAUGCUGUUUUAAAUGCUGACGGGACCUCUAGGCACAACUGACAAGGGAGUAUAGGGGAGGAGUCGGGGCUGAGCCGGAGAGGGGCUGUCCAUGCGAAUGUAACAGGUGAAGCUCUGAGAGUACAUAACCCUCCAGUGCAAUGAUACAUUCUCAUAUGUGUAGCCAAGACCAAAUUUCUACCACGAUAAAUCUCAAAAGGAUGCACC
rnacentral:lncRNA from 1 species